rnacentral:rRNA from 1 species
GGAAUAUUGGACAAUGGAGGCAACUCUGAUCCAGCCAUGCCGCGUGAAGGAUGAAGGCCCUACGGGUUGUAAACUUCUUUUCUCUUAGAAAAAACUACUGGUUUCGUACCGGUACUGAUUGUACAAGAGGAAUAAGCAUCGGCUAACUUCGUGCCAGCAGCCGCGGUAAUACGAAGGAUGCAAGCGUUAUCCGGAUUCACUGGGUUUAAAGGGUGUGCAGGUGGGGUAAUAAGUCAGUGGUGAAAGCCCCCGACUCAAUCGGGGAACUGCCAUAGAUACUGUUAUUCUUGAGUGUGGUUGAGGCGGAUGGAAUAUGACAUGUAGCGGUGAAAUGCUUAGAUAUGUCAUAGAACACCGAUCGCGAAGGCAGUCCGCCAAACCAUUACUGACACUGAAACACGAAAGUGCGGGGAUCAAACAGGAUUAGAUACCCUGGUAGUCCGCACCGUAAACGAUGAUCACUCGUUGUUGGCGAUACACAGUCAGCGACUAAGCGAAAGCAUUAAGUGAUCCACCUGGGAAGUACGACCGCAAGGUUGAAACUCAAAGGAAUUGACGGGGGCCCGCACAAGCGGAGGAGCAUGUGGUUUAAUUCGAUGGUACGCGAGGAACCUUACCUGGGCUUGAAAGACAGUUGACCGUCUCUGAAAGGAGACUUUCGCAAGACAACUGUCUAGGUGCUGCAUGGCUGUCGUCAGCUCGUGCCGUGAGGUGUCGGGUUAAGUCCCAUAACGAGCGCAACCCCUAUUUCUAGUUGCCAUACCUUAAUUGGUGGAACUCUAGAGAAACUGCCAGCGUAAGCUGUGAGGAAGGAGGGGAUGACGUCAAGUCAGCACGGCCCUUACGUCCAGGGCUACACACGUGCUACAAUGGCCGGUACAAUGGGUCGCUACACAGCAAUGUGAUGCUAAUCUCAAAAACCGGUCCCAGUUCGGAUUGAAGUCUGCAAUUCGACUUCAUGAAGCUGGAUUCGCUAGUAAUCGGAUAUCAGCUACGAUCCGGUGAAUACGUUCCCGGGCCUUGUACACACCGCCCGUCAAGCCAUGGAAGUUGGGAGUACCUGAAGUCCCCGAGCAAUCGGAGCCUAGGGUAAAACCAAUGACUGGGGCUAAGUCGUAACAAGGUAGCCGUACCGGAAGGUGCGGCUG